rnacentral:misc_RNA from 1 species
AUAAAAUUCUUUGGAGUAAACAAACAAAGGAGGGGAUAUUAAAAAAAAAAUUGCACUAUAUUAACAAGUUGAAAAAGCAAUCUCAUUUAAUAAGAUGUCAUAUUAGAUAGGAUAUUUCAUGUGCUGAAAGUGUCAUAUAGAUAUAUAGAUGGCUCAACAAGUGACAUAGUUUCCAUUUGCUACUUUGAUGCUAUCACUACACUUUUUCAUGCUCAAAUAAUAUUAAAGGAGUUUUUGGAGCUAUUAAUAUAACCAACUAAGCUAAUAAAAAAAAUUACGAACUAUGCUAUUGCUUGCAAUAUCAUCUUUUGAUAAUAUUUCUUUUCUCAAACCUCAAAUGCAUUUAACAUUUUGGCAUUCAUUCCAUUUAAUUCUGUUUAUGCGUAUGUAAUAUAGAUUGGAUUAUAAAGAAGCUACGAAAUUCUGCUAGAAGCCAGCCUUACAUCAUGGAGUUCUAUCUCCAGGAAAAAUGCUUAUGAAAUACCAUAUCAAAGGUGAGAGUGAGACACCUUCACAAGAGGAUGCUAUGAGUUAUAGCCUAUGACUUUAAAAAUAUGGAAGCUUAAAGUGAAAAGUGAUGUUUGCAGAUUAUACUUAGGCUCCAUAUUUGUCUUGCAGAAAAUAAAUUCUUUGCCUAUGAAAAACUUUUUUUUUUUUUUUUUGAGGAAACGGUUAACUUUCAAAUAUAUGGUUGAUAUCUCAUGAAGUAAUGAUUGGCAUAGGGUUUUUCCAAGUCUCUCUGUCUCAGAUCCUUUUUGUUUUGGGUUAAAGACAACAGUAGUUACAUAAACUGCAUUUCUCCAAAGUAACCAUUGCCUCACCCUCUAAGUUUCAUUUUGCUCCCAACAAUCACCAGCCAAUCACCCAUAUAUAUUUAGCCUCAAAUCAUAACCCUAACUACUAAUCCAAAGCUCACACUACUAGAAUUUAGAGGCCCUUUACUAUUCUUAUACGAUUAGAUUCUAAGAUCCAACAGUGCAUGAAAAUUACAAAGGGAAAAACCAUCAAUUUUGAUACCUCAAACAUCAAUCACAGCAAGCAACUCAUCUACUACUCAUGCCUCGACAAAUCAUGAUCAUAAAAAAAUACUGCAAAAUCAAAACGAAUAAAAAAUUGAUUCGAGGGAUAAAAGGAGUCAUCUUCUGAUUAUAUACGAAAAAAUAAAAUAAAAUCUUUGUAAUACUAUUUCUUCACUAAUUCCGGCUAAUCGGCCUAUGGGUGAGAAUGUCCUAGUGCUAAUCUCUCUAAGAUAAUAGAGGAAGAGCCGAUUCGUAAUAGCCCCUUUUAUACAUUCCAAAGGAAAAAAGAAACAAAAGAAGUAGCACCUUAAAUAGCCGAAGAAUCAAUUUCUGACCGUUGUCUUCGCCGGAGCUUGGGGGAUGAGAACUGGGUGAAAAAGGAAAUGGGUUUUUCGUAUCGUGUAUGUCACCUGUGCUACUAUAGCUCGAAGGACAGAGGAAGGAGAAUCAAAUUCAAAAACCCAAAUUGGGAAGUAAACUGCCGGUAAUUCAAUGCGCGACAAUCGCCUUCGUCGGAGCUUGUGCGAGCAUGAGCCGGGAAGUGGAAAGGGAAUUGGGAUUUGGUAAAGGACUAAUGGGCUCAUUGCUCGUCG